UCUUGUUGUUUAAGAUGGGUGAUGAGAGUAUAAAAAUGAUAAAAUAAUACAUAGCUGGAGUAUAAAAUUAUUUAUAAUGAGAGUAUAUUGUUUCGUGACUGACGAAGAAACUCUGGUAUGAGUAGGGAAAGAUAACAACACGCACAGCCGCGGGGCUGACAGCUGAGAUGCACCCAGCCUGGCUCGCUAUCGUCUGCAGGAAAGGGAGGGUAAGAGGUUGUUUUCUUCACUCUUCGGGAACAAGGAAGGUCGGAUUCUUGUGUUGGGCCUCGACAAUGCCGGAAAGACCACCAUUCUUUCUAUUGGUUUUCGCAGAUCGACUUCAGAUGGGAGAAGUAGUGUCUACUAUUCCAACUAUUGGGUUCAAUGUGGAAACAGUGCAAUAUAACAAC